GGGGGUCAAGAUUCAUUUUUUCCAUAUGGACAUCCAACUGACCCAGGACCAUUUAUUGAAGACUGUUCUUUGCAUACUGCAUAGCAGUGUGACUCACCUCUGUCAUAAAUCAGAUAUGGAAAACAUGAAUAAAAGAGAUCGACCAUUCCUGACAAUUCAGAAAAAUGAUAGCUCAGAUAAUCUGGUAUUCCAUAUUAAAAAUGGAAUGGGAAGCACCAAGUAUAAACCAGUAGACUAUCAACAACUGCACGCAUUAACUGAAGCAAAAAGAUUAGCUUCUGCUGCUAUAGAGCUUAAGAUCAGAAAAGCGGUGCAGACUUCAAAGACAUCUAAAGAACGAACACUAAUAAAACAACACAAGCAAGUGUGGUGGCAAGAACACCAAAGGCUAAAUGAAGUCAGAUGUAAAAUGGAAUCAGAAAUAAAAUUCUUUCUCACUGAAGAGAACAUUGGAAGUGAAUGUCUUUCUGACCUAAUGAAUUUUGAACAAGAGUUAUCAGAGGAAUGGUGCACAUAUCUUAAAAAUGUGAUAGAUCCUGUUCAGCAAUUGAGAGCAGAUCUGAAGUACAGACAGCAUCACAUUUCACAGCAUUCACACUCACAUACUGAGUUUAACUCCGUGAAAGUACUGGAAGAGGUUGACUUCGUUAAGAAACAAUUGAAAGCUGUCUGUGAAAGACUUAGCCUGGAGCAACAGAAAAUAGAAAAUAAUCUUUCAGACUGGAUUAUGAAAAUACUAGAUCAUUCUUCAGAAGACAGGAGUAACCUGCUUAGUGAACUGCCCACGGAAUUAGGAACUUUGGAAUGCCCAUACCCUGAUUUGAAAUCUUCAAUCCUUAAUGAGUUCUAUAAAUUUACAGAGAAAUAUCAACAGAGACUUCAAGAUUUUGAUCUGCAGUUGGAAGACAUAUACAGAAAGUUCCAAUUAAAUGAUGAAGACCACUGGAUUUACCAGGCUGUUUUGGAUCAGUAUCCUGGAGAUCUCUGUGGCAGAAGAACUCUGUAUCUGGACAUGUUACAAAGAUAUUUUCCUCAUAAAUCUAGGCAUUAUUUGGUUGAACAUGAGAAAUACUGUGACCAAUAUCGCUUUGCUAGGGAACAGCGAAGGAUCCUGAUAGCAAGUUGGAGUAAGAAUAGAAGAGACUUUAUACAGAAGGCUGUGCUGACACUUGCCGACGCCUGUGCAGCUCAUGAAAUGGAGAGCACGUUGGCUAAGGACAGGAAAAAGCAACAGGAACUGUGCGCUGAUCUGAAAGCCAAGGUUCUUCAAUGGCGAACUCACCAGGAAGAGGUAGCAAGACUGGAAAUGGAAAUUUCUGCCAGAAGAAGAGAAAAGGAAGAGGAGAAGGAGAAACUGUGGAAGAAGAAGGAAUUGUUGCAAAGAGAGGAGAAGAACAAACAAAUAAGAAAAUACUGGGCUAAGAAAGAAGAGAAGUGGCAAGAAAUGGAAAUGAGAGAUCUUCGGCGUCUAGAAGAACUGAAGAAAUUAAUGGCUGAACAGUCAGUAAAAGACAGAGAAAGUUCUUCGAGAAGGUUAUUCUUACUUGAGGAUCUAACAGCACAGCUAGCCAUUGUUCCUGAGAUGAUAUUUGACUCCUUGGUGCCGUGUUUGAAUUUGCCUGCUGCAACCGUUGCUGAAGAGUAAAGUAAAUAGAGAGAAGAUAUGGAACGCUGAUGCCAGGAAAUACCCAUAAAGGCUGUUCUCAGUGUUCAUCUAUCACUUAAUUUCACCUGUAUUGACUAGUGGGGACACUAGGAGGUGAAGAAAAUCCUGGUGCUGUUACUCUCCACCCUGCGUGUACAGGAACAGACCUCUCCACUCCCCACUCACAAGGAUGGCCUGAUGGAAGUAGUGAACUUCAACCAGCAUCUUAUGUUGAUAAGAGACAUCCUGCUGUGGGGCUUUAGCAGGCUGUGUGCUUGGUGUGUGAGUGCCAAGGACGUGGAAUGAAGUAACAAGAGAACAAAAGGAAAACCACAAGUUCUAGGUAUGUUGUCUGAUUCCACAUCCCCUAUCAUAAAUUUUUAUUAUGAAAUGUAUUAUGUUAACUUAGGGCUUUAAAGAAAUCACCUCGAGACUUUCCAACUUCUCAUUUAGAAGAAAUUCUCAUGGAAGAAGCCUUAUCAUUGUAGACUGCAAAUCUCAUUCAGUAUUUCACCAAUUCCAAUGAUUUGGUUUUGGUUUUGUUUUAUUCACCUUUAACAUCUCUGAAAUUACAAUAAGUGCUGCAAGUCAAGGGUGUCAAAUCUAAUAAAAUGUGGUAAUACAAUUGUCUGCUGGUUGCUUGUGUGAUAGCCUGUUCCGUGUACAUCACCCCAGGGAUGGGAAAGGAGGAUGCCAGAGAGAGGACUGGAGUGGCCUGACAGCAGGUAGAUAAGCAGCCAGCCGGGUGAGUACCAGAGGUCAGUAGUGGAGGAGGAGGAUCAACAGCAGAUGUCAGAGACCAGAGGCAGUACAGUCGACAGAAGGGUGCCAGGCUCAAAGCCAUUCGAGAAUCUCCGCUAAGCAGUGAGGUGCACACAGUCUGAAGAAGCUCUGAAUCAGAAAGAUAACUCAACAGUGGUUAAACACUUGCUGUUUAAAGUGAGAUAAAUCUGGCUUUGCAUCCCAAACCUGUCACUGAUUAAGUAACUUGCUCACUGUUAUGCAUAUAAUCUCUAUGUACCUCAGAUUGUCAUCUCCAAAAUGGGAAAACACAAUACUCUUCAGAGGGUUUUGUGAGGAUAAAAUGGGACUGAAUAUGGUCGAGGACAUUGCACAAAGCCAGGCACCUUCUGAGUGAUCAACUACUCUUUUUCAUAUCACGUAGCAAUUUCCUGGCCCUGCUUUUAAGGUUGCUUAUUGUUUCCGUAUUUGUAGAACUUAGUAUAAAUGAAGCUGGUUCAAAUCCAGUAAGGAAAGGCAGUCGGUGGUGCCUGACUGAUGUGGGCAGCAUUAGGCAGAGGAUCAGAGGCUUGCUGGUGAGGUCCCUCACAGGGUUAAAGAAGAUCUGUCUAAGGAAAUACCUAACUGGGGCUGUAGAGCAGGCGCCUCCAUUCACAAAUGAUCUACCAUGCCUAUUGGGUGGUCUGAUUACAUGAUGCAUUCUGUUUCCAUUUAGCGAUAAUUCUUGUGCCACACUCAUUCUCAAUUAUGGGAUGUAAUUAUCCUUUUAUCCAGGCCCUCUGCUUCUCUUCUACCCUCAUUAUUGUCUUUUCUGUAUCUUCUUAUGAGUUUCUCUGAUGGGGCCUAAAGUUGAUAGUGAACUGCAUUGAGGCUAUAAGGCUGAGUUAGCCAUAAGGCUGAGCAGCAAAGAGGGUAAGACCACGGUCUAAGAUUAGUUCUUAAAUUAUUAUUGAUUACUCGUACAAUUUUUCCCUCUGUUCACAGGGCUAGUUAAGACUUGGCUCAAGAUCUUAGUACAAGGAGGUCUUUUUUUUGUUUUUUGUUUUCUUUUUACAAAACACAGUAGUUUGAAAAUAACCUCAUUGUGUGGUGCCAGUGAAUGUAAAUUACAACUAUUCAGAUUGACCAUAAAACCGAAACAGAUGUUAGAAUAGCUUGCGGUUUGAAUUCUUCUUUGAACUGUAGAUAUUGCUGUAAUCAACAGGAAUUUCUGAAUGUUUCUGGAGACAUAAAGAUGAUAUGCAUAGACAGAAGCAUUUUCAUUCUUGAAUCCUUCCUCCUAAGUCAGACUUACUAAACAUCACCUCUAGACACAAUUUUCAGUCUGGCUGUUUUAAUGAGAAGUGAAAUAUGACUGGAGACCACCAACCAACAUUGACCUUAAGUGACACUUUCUGUGAUUUACAUCCCAAACAAGAUUAUCAUUUGUUCUGUUUUUAUCAAAGAUAGGAAUGUACUAGGAAAGAGACUGAAGUAUUAUGAGAAUAUGAUAAGGAGUUUGCCUAAUGACUGCCAGAAUGAACUCACUUUCAAAUAUGUCUAGUGUCUUAAAAGACUUAACUUUGCCAUGUUGUAUUAAUCAGGUCCUACUGCGGUUUAUGUAUUUUGUAUGUUAGCAAAGAAAUAUAAAUACUUUUAAAAUGCAUACGACAGAGUGUUACAAGGUAAUGCUUUUCCAUGUUACUUGAAAUUUCUAAAGAGAGAUUGGAGAGUACCAGCUAAUGAUUUUAUAAAAGACAUUAUAAAAGACGUAUUUGGAUGCUUAGUUUGAAUUAACCUCUAAAAAUCCUCUACUAUAUUUUUCAAUUGUUUGGUCAUUCCAGUUGGUAUAGCAGGGACUUAUUAGCUGUCCACCAAAGCUGUUUCCCCUUGUUUCUGGAUGCACAACUAAACUCAACUUCCCAACCUCAUCUCCAGUUAGAUGAGACCAUAUUCCUGAGUUCCAGCCACUAGAAUGUGGGCAGAAGUAAUGGAUGCGACUUCCAAUCCUAGCCUAUAGGAAUCUCCCAGUGGUGAUCGUACAAUUGUCUUCUUCCAUCUGCUGGAUGGAUUUUGACACCCAGGGAAACUUUGAAAGCCAGUCCUUAAAGAUGACAGAGCAACAAGAUGGAAGGAGCCUGGGUCCCUGGAUCACCAGCUGAAGGAAAGCCUCUCAUCAGCCAGGAACACCCACUUUGUACUCAAUCUGUGUAAUGUACACUACUGGACUACUACAGUCAGAUUGCCCGGGUUCCACUACCAGUUCAACCAUAUAUAUAUUAAUUGUGCAACCUUGGGUAAGUUAUUUUAUCUUUGUUCUUUAUUUUCCAUCUAUAAAAUGGGAAUGGUGAAGAUAAUAACUACUUUGUAAGAUUGCCCUAAGGCCUAAAUGAGAUAAUAUUUGUAACACCUCUGAUAUGCAGUAAACACAGAAUAACCAGCUCUCACUAUUACGCCUCCCAACAUUGAGAACCUGAAAUGUACUAGCUUUAGUGAGACUGACAAGAAAAAGUAGAGUGUGGCAAAGAAUACCGUGUAUUCACCAAAUCCCUUUUCUUUUUUCUCCUGGGCACAUUGCUAAACUAUAUUCUCAGCUUUCUUUGCAGUAAGGUGAGGUCGUCUGAUCGACUUCUGGCCAAUGGAAUGUGGAUGGGAGUGACACAUCUGCUUCUAGGCCUGGCUCCUAAAAAACAGUAACUCACUCAAAUCUGAUUCUUUCUCCCACGCUCUCUCUCCUUGUCUUUUGGCCAAAUGCAGGAGAUGGUGGAGCCACUAGGUAGAAAGUUCUGGAUCCCUGAAUGGCUGUGUGGCAUAUACUCGCUUCUUUAUGCUAACGACCUGUUUUGGAUUGAGCAAGAAGGCACUGAUAUUUUAAACAGGAGUAGCCUACAUGAUCAUGAGAGGUUCUUAGUUUGGUCAAAGUACUUGGAAAGGAUCUUUCUCCCAUUCGAAGAUUUAAAUGAGAAACAAAUGAAGCAGGAUGAUGGAGUGGAAGCAGAGAGCUGAGUAGGAACCUGGAGAGUCUCAAUUUGGGUAGAAUAGGAGCAAAGAAUGAACGAAUGGGGACAUAGUUUUGGAGAAACAGGAUUGAGAGCUUAUCAAGAAAAGGAACGCUCAAGAAAAGGCAUGAAGGAAAAAAAGUAAGGCUAAAGAGCUUGCAGAAGGGGGGAGGGAUAAAGUGAAAGACCUAAUUUUAGUAAAGACUUACAGACAGCCUUAUGGUCCCAUGGGGAUCCUUCCACAUGCCCUUCCUGCCGUUUUCACUGCUAUCUCUAUUUCUCUGCACAUGUCUUUGCCUCCUUCUCGGCUUUCCAGGAGGUUUUGUGUAUGUCUGUGUCUGACUGCAUGUAUGUAUGUAAUCUAUGGGUCCUAUAGUCUCUUUUAGCUCCAUAGACCAGUGCUUCUCAAAGUUUCGCAUGCAUAAGAAUCACUGGACACUUCAUGGACUCCUCUUCCAGAAAUUCUGAUUCAGCAGGUUGGGUAUGUGUGUGUCAGAAUUUGCAUUUCUAACAAGCUCCUCAUUGGUGCUGAUGUUGCUGGUCCGAAGACCACACUUUGAGUAACACCUCCAUUAAGGACUCCAGCAACUGUGCUGAAUAUACCAUCUCCUUUCCACCCCAGUGGCCACUGUCCAAACCCAGGCCCCCAUCACAGCAAUGAUGGCUGGGCCACCAAUCCUUCCUCACUCUCGGUAAAGUAAUGCAAGUCAUGGAAUGCAAGACAGUGAGCUGACUGCUGCUGUAGGAAUGACCUUAAUUCAAUCUCAUUCAUAUUUAUGAAACACAUCACCCACAGCCUUUGGUUAUUUCAAUAACAAUUAUAUAUUGCUUUAUUAUGAGUGAUAAAUUAUCCACCCCAUGCCACAACAGGUCAAGCCACCUUUGCCAAGAAACAUCUGAGACUUCUUUGCACAACAUUCUUCCCAUUUCCCGCUAACUGCUUCUAAAUAUCUCAACAAAAACCUUGUAUCUUCAUAUAAAUCUAGUGAUCCUUGACUGUUAAAAUCAUCAGAAAGCUUUUUAAAAAGCACGGGCGCCCAGGCCCCAACGAAUUUAGACUCUGAAAGUAUUUUUAAAAUCUUCCCAUAUGAUUGAUGAGCAAAGCUGAGGACCCUCUUUAGGCCUUUGUUCCUGAAACAUCCUUCUCAUUCCCCUCUAUUUUUAUGUUUCAAAAUCCUGCUCAUUCUUCAAGGUCAAAUUCAAAUCUCACUUCUUCCACAAAGGCUUUUCCAAGCAUCUUUCCUCCUUAGUCACUAUGAAUUCCUGCCCAGCACUGUGCUCCUAAAGCAUUUUUUUCACACUAAGCUGAUAGAUAGCAUUUCACAUGUUAAUUUUCUGUCUUUCCAGAAAGAUUGUGAAUUCCCUCAUGCAAGCUGUCUCAUAUAUCUUUUUUUAAUCCCUAAGUCUCAAGAAAUUCUAUUUGUUGAAUUAAAUUUAACUGUUCAGGAAGUGGAACAGAAAUACUAUUAAUUUUCUCCUCAAAAACAUUUAGAGUAAGAGAUUUUUAAUUAGUUAGUGGAUCACGCUGUAUUCAAAAAUAAAACAUUUCAUGAUAUUAGUACACUCUACCACUUCAGAAUAAGACUUUAAGCCUCAGAGCAAAAGGACAUCUCCCUUCUCUUGGGAGAGGUAAGAGGACGUUUAUCCAUGGUCCUGUGUUAGACAAAGUGUCGUCAAGGAACCAGAAGUAUUGGCAGUAUCAUCUGGGAAGCUUGUUAGAAAUGCAAAGUCUCAGGCUCUACUCUGGACCUACUGAAUCAAAAUUUGCAUUUUAACUAACUCUUAUGUGGUUCCUGUGCACAUUAAAGUUGGAGAAAUGCUGCCAUCCACUUUUUCUUCCAACUUCUCUCAUGCUUUCUGUUGUACUCUGCCAAAACUGUCAAUCUCUCACUAUCUGGAGAUUUUCCUUUGGAUUCUCAACUGAAUCCAUGAAUCAUUUCUCUACGAAAGAGUGUCAUUCAUUGACUGCAGUGAUGCUAAACUCUAACUACUUACCAGAAUCACCUGCAGCACUCUAAAAAGUGCUCAUACCUGGACCCCAGCCCUAGAAAUUCUGAUUCAAUUCGUCAAUGAGAUCUGGACCUUGACAUUUUUAAAGUCACUGAUCUACUCCACUUUUCCUAUCUCCAAGAAGAAAUUUUCAAACCAGUAUAACCAUUAACUAUAUUCUCUUCUAUCAAUUAUGGUACUCCUGUUAAUUCAUUAGCAGAUAUUCUUUAGUUUUUCUUGAUGUCUGUCCCAACGUCUCAUGAUUCCUUGGUCAAAAAAUUGGGGGGCAUGUCUGUCAAAGAUUUUUAUCCUAUUAGACUCAUCAAGAAGCACUUCUAAGAUGAUCACUGUAUCAAUGGCCAAAGGAAAGACUAAUUUGAGGUAUCAGGCCAAAUUCAACCCAGCAUGAAUCUGGCAAUUGCAAUACUUCAACCUUUCCAAAAUAUAUAAUUUUUACUAAAUAGACUUGCGUGUAUUCUUUCCUCCUCAGCCUUGUUUUGCAUUUUCUUUUCUUUUCCUAAAACAUGCGUCAAAGGUGGGGUUGGGAAUAAAGUCUUUUAGCAAACCAUGACAAGUUACACAGCAUAGCCAGUGUUAAAUAUUGGUAACCAAAGAAAAGUGCUGGUUGAGAGGAAGGAUUUCCAUUUUACCAUUACCUUCAUCUUCAUAAUUUUUCUUUUUCUCUCUCCUUAGCUUCCCUGAAGAAAUGAUCCUGGUAGGAGGCUACUUCUGCUUAGGAUGGGUAAGUGGAGCAUUUUCUGAAACGCUGACAUAAUGGAGGCUCUAAGCCAGACAUUUCAUACAACUCUCAGUGAAUCAGAAGGAAUUCACAAAAAUUCCUUAAGCCUCAUGAAGAUUAAUGCUCUAUUAUGUUCUGUGAACCUGGGGCAAGAAUUGGAGCUAAAUUUGCAGACAGCUUUGGCAGAUUUAUGUCUACCCCUGAGACGAAUAACAUACACGGUAUUCUAAAAGUGAAUUCUAUGAAAAGUCCAUCACAAAGCAUAUGAGAUCACUUCAUAAUAUGCUGCAACACAGUGAAAUCUCCCUUAGGCACUGGGAGGCCCCUUUAAUUAUUUCUCAGACACAGGCCACGGUCCUGGAAUUAAAGGCUGAACUCCAAGCUGAAUUCCAGGCUGGACUUUGAAUUUGUUCGCUCAUGCAGGUUAGUUAGACUUUUGCAUAUUUCUUGUGACUUCCUUUACCCCAUUUUCUGUUUUUGUUGUUGCGAUGUAAUUGACAUAUUGCCCCACUUUGUUAGUUGAGCCAACCCCUGUCCCCAAGAACCAAGGAAUGAAAAUACCAUUGGAAAGAAAAUUUGUAUUAUUUUUAUUUUGUUUUGUAUUGUGAGCUGCGUUCCAACUAUAUCAUCUCUAAACUUAAGAAAUUUACGUAACUAUAGAGGUCCGUCUUCUGAACAUUUAAUACAAAACCCAAAGAAUAUCCAUCUGAUCAAAACAAACGAAAAAUCAAAAUUACUCCCUCAAUGUAUGUAUUACUGUCAGAUCAUGGCUUUAUUGGAAGCAGUAAAAUCGAAACCAUCUUUUAUACCAUGUGGAUAGUCACUCUUAAGUUGAUGUCAGGAAAGAAAAAAACUGUGAUUUGCUAUUAAAUUAUAGAACGAAUCAUAAUAGUUCAGCUUCCAGUUAGAAUGACACCCUUCCUUAAAACUUGUUUUUUUUUAAAUUGCUAAUGGGAAUUUUCCUUUAGCAUUCUAAACUUCCUUAUCAAUUCAAAAAUAUCCUUCCUGACAUGACAUGUUAUACUACAGCCCAGCUCUCAGACCAACACUUCCCCAAGAAGAUAGGCUGCCUUUGAAGGUGUGGCAUCCUAUCUCCUUGACUAGGUUGGUUAGCUUGUUAACUGUUGACCAGCGUGCCUGUGCCUUACAUCUGGCCUUGGUCCCAGCAUGGGUCUAGGGUAGCACACAGACUUGUCUACUUUCGGACAGCUGUAUAUAGAUGCAAGCCCUCAACUGGUUUCCAUAACAACUCCACCAGGUUGUCUCAAAAAUGUGUCCAGUACACAUGAGAACUUUCGGUGACCAAACAUUUCAUUUUUCCACCCCUUCCUACCCCUCACCAACUUGUUUUCAUUCUUUGUGAUCACAAAUGAGAAAAACAUCAAAGGCAGGACCUCAGAAUGCCCUGUCAUCUGAACUUUGCCCAUUCAAAUUCGCAAAGAAGGUCUGACAAUUAAACAAAACCUAUUUCCCAGGGCUUCACUAAGCUAAACCCCAGGCUGCCUAUAAAAUCCAAUGAACCAGAUGUGGGAGGUCAAACCAGGUAGAAGAAGAAAAUACAGCUUAAGAUUUUCAGAAAACACAGUGUCUCUGUUAAGAAACCCAUGAAUUCACUACUUUUGCGGCUGCUUCUCACAUAACGCUUUGGGGAUGGAAAAUCUAAGAUUUUAGAGAAACUUCAUCCUGUUCCUUUUUGACCUAAGCUUCCACAGCAAUCAGCUGAAGUUCUAUGCUGGUGAGAGUUUCCAGAACAAUAGUCUCAUGACUUUCAAGCAAAUCAGAGCCUAAAAUGCUGAUAAAUGCCCAAACAGCAGCAGAUACAAGGCAUUUCAUAACGUGCAUGGAUUUCUCUUUAAGAAGGUGCAUAGCAGUGAAUCUCAACUGGGAUCUCCAUGUUGGAAGACACUCUUCUUCCUGGUGACAGUCACCCUGGACAAACUGCUUGAAUUCCAUGCUGGCCUCCUUCAGUCCAUCUCAGCCAGCUAGCAAAGAUUACAGAAUGAAAAGGAAAGGAGAUAGGGAACCAACGUAGCAGCCUAAAUCUUGCCACUGCUACCACCCAAUAGACAUUUGUCAUUUUGCCCAAGGUAUCCAAAAAUCCCUGAAAAAACUGAUCUUGGUGAAGAUAAUGACAACUUUGAGGAAAAAUAAGCCUGAACAUGUGUGCUGCUUUUGUAACUGGGGACAGAAGUUAGUGUUGGUAGUCUAUAGUAAUAUCUAAGUCUCUUAUCUCAUAACUCACCUCAAAUUGGUUCUACCUGCUGCUCUUUCCCAACAACCAAUGGCAGUUUUGAGACUCAGCAUGCCCACUUACCACUUUUAGGGACUUCACACUUUUAUUUGGCGUUCCGUGCUGUCUCCCUCAAUUUAUUUUUAGGGUAUAAUGAGGAGGACCACCGAAUUCCAGUCUGGCGUUUACCUCUGGCUCUGACAGGUGGAAGUGUGAGCUAAUUAGGUAAGUGUUAGAUAAUUAAUUACUCCAAUGAAUUAGUUAGACUAAUUAAUAUGUCUGUUUCCAGUGCACAUUCUGUCAGCCAAGGAUCUUGAUCAUGAACAGUGCCAGGAAAUGCCAGAAAUAUUUAUGGCCUCCAUCUAACAACUCCCCAGGACAUUAAGGCAAGUGGUCAUCACUUGGGUGAAGUGUAGAGUAGUCUUGAAGACUCCAUGAAAGUAGAGUAAUAAUUAAUAUCUUCUGGGUAGUCCUAAAUUAUUUCCCCUUGUUUUCAAUCUUUUCAAGACUCGAUCCUACUCUUAUGGUAAGUUGUUCCUCAAUGAUUUUGCUGCUAUUGUUGACUAUAUUGCAAAAGGCAAGUCACCUGAAUGGGAAUGGAAAAAGUUUUUUGUAUUCAGAAAGCCUGCGUGUGGGACUACAGAAAGCAAACUCAGGCCAUCACUGGGCGUUAGGGGAACGAAGGCCAUGUGCCAGGCAGAGCCCCAUGGCUCAGCACAGCCUUGCCAUCAGUAGGGGCUGCCUCAGCUCCGCCAAGUCCAUGCUCCACAGUGUCUGCCUCAGACAGAACAUUUCACUUCCCACUGUCUUCCUGUACCAUGCUAGCAUUUUCAUAUUCUCUCUCCCAUGACAAUUUUCUCUCUGGAUAAUUUUGCCCCUGAACCUCUAAUGGUGGACAAAAGAAAGUAGAGUCCUGAUGCACAACUGGGUGGCAUUUGGGUCUCUCUCCACUUGGCACGCUUUCUGCUGAAUGGGUGAGAUUCACACAUGUUGACUUAGAACCAUACCCUCCCACUAAAACAGUGCUCUUGUCACUCUGGGGAGGGGCGUAGCCAGGAAUGUGAGGCUCCCAGAAUCUUGCUGUAAGAGCUGGGCAUCUGCCUCAUGCCAGACACUGUGCUAAAUUCUGAGAGCACAAAGAGGAUGAGAUGCAUGGUGUCUGCCCUAAAGGGAUCUACACUCCAUGGGGAAGAGAGAUGAGUGGCAAAGAACAGGACAGGUGCUAUAAAUCUCAGAGGAAAGGUCUCAAACUCAGACUAGGGGGUCCAGGGGGCUUCUGGGGGUACGUGAUACCUGGGUUGAGUCUUGAGGAAAGAUGUAGCCCCCAACAUAUUGCUGAGGAUGAGGCUGGGUGAACACGAGAAGUCUGUGCUCCCAGUCCAGGGAACAGUGUGUAAAAUGCACAGAAGGGACAGAAAAAGCAUCACAUUUAGAGAACUACCAGUAGCACUAUGUGGUGUUACUUCCUCAUAUUUGCACCAGAAUGUCUCAAAUGGGGCCUUGGUGGUUUUAGUUUUUGAGAUUGCUGGUGUUUUAAAAAAUAAAGGCCAAAACAGGAUUAUACUAGUAAUAAUAUACUUCAAAUGUUUACAUUUAAUGAAUUGGCAUCUUAACUCUCUUGGUGCUGUUCACAAAGACAUUACAGGGCUUAUUAAAAAAUAUGUCAAUCCAUCACACAUUGUUAGUUUAAUGGAACACAAGUUUAAAGGUAUAUUAUGUUCUUCUCCUUUCAGUACAUUCCGUGAGUUUAUGUAGAUAUGUAUAUAAAGUCUAAUUUUAGACAAAAUGGUCCCCUGGGCCCACUCGGCUGGGCCUGCCUCCCUGAGGUCAUGCCUGGGUGCUCCCUUCCUUCCUCCCAGACCGAGCCCUUCUGCUCUGGACCCAGAGUCUCUGCUCUAGAAUGCCUCUCCAUGAGGUACCCGCCGAAGGUCAUAUCAGUUCACCUAAGGAUGCAGCCGUGAUCACCCCUACCCAGGAAAUAAUCACACACAUACAGAUACACACACACCCCUCCCUAAAACCAGCCUCACAGCCUGUGGGAGAUAGGGGUGGGAUACACAGCAAAGUCUUCGUAUCCACUCCUUCCUUUUUCCCUCUUUCUGUGGCAGGUCUCUCGGAGUGGGGAUGAGGUACCAAAGAGCCCCUACCUUGUGCCACACAAGAUCCCCCCACUCCACUAUUUAGCCCAUAGCACUAUCAAGGGCUUGGAAGAGCUCAAAAAUGUCUUAAGUUAUCCAUUCGGGUGCUAAGCAGUUUAUUUUUUCAUUUAUUCAUGAACAAAUAUUUGCUGAGCAUACACUAUGCUCCAGGAAGUCUAGAAAGUGCCAGCGACACAGGUAUGACUAAGACAUUUCUUGCUUCUCUGAUUUCUUCCACAAAAAUGUUGAACAGAGAAGACACAAGUUACCACAUCUCUCCUACUAACAUUCUAUAUGUUGAAACGCCUGUAUUAAGUGUAUUGUCCUCAUUUAUUCUUCAUGCCCAAUAACUAAAACUUACUGAAUCUUUGGAUCCUUUCCUUAAGUGUUUAUUUUCCAAUACUACAUAGAUCGUAGUUGCCUCAAAUCCUUUUAUGAAGAAGAGGCUAUUAAAAGAUACACAACUGUUUUCUUUUUGGUGCAUCUUACCAUUUUUGCGCAUAGGUGCAAAGAAAAUAUACCUUCUUUCCUACUAGGCAUCCAGUCUUUCACACUCUGCCCAGUGUCCUGAAGGUGGGGUGGAGGGUAGUGAUUUGAAAUUUGCCAGUCAAUAGCAUCUUCAUGCCUUUGGUUUAAAUAGUCUUACUUAGAUGACUUGUUCUCUUUCAGAUACACGCCAUGUCUCCUCCAUUUCCCGUCUCUGCUCACUGCUCCUCUUUGAGAGGACAUCUACCCGAUUGCGAUGAAUGGUGACCAAGGACCUUUCUCUGACCUUCUUGCUCUACUUCUCCUGCCCUCUCACUCAUAACUAGAAGCUGGAUCCAAUUCAACACUAUCUGAAGCAAGUGCUGUCUGCUUGUGAGCAGUCCCUGAAAAGGGAAUUAAAAGACCCGAGGCUGAGGGUCUCCUGAUUGCCUGUGGCUCGCCCAUUCCAGUGACUGGAAGAUUAAAGCCUGUGUUUAUGUUCAGCAUCAGACGAAUGUGCUCCAACUGGGAAGCGAACCACACUGGAAAAUCAGACUUGCAGCUGGACAGGAGCUCUGUAAUAUUCUCCAGAUCACUUUAGAAUCUGAUGAAAUGAAAGCGGAUGACAAUUCUACUACAGACUAAGAUCUUUGAAAUGGUCUUAGAUCCCAAAAGCAUGAGUCAGUGAAGUGCCCGGUGCUUCUGCUUCCUGUAGAGUAGAUGAAAGUCUGACUGCCACAGCCCGUUCUCUGAUGACGAUUUCCCUGCGCCUGUUAUUCACGGUCAUCAUGUGGUUUUCCCAUUGGUUCACCAGCCCCACGCUCAAGCUAAAGUGUGGAUCGCCUGGAAUGGGCUGGAUGAUUGGUUCCCCUUCAAUGACCCUCAGCAUACCUGCUGCGUGCACAUGUGGAGUUCCUGACAAAGAUGUUUAUGAGUGAGAGCACAGGCUGCCAGAGACGCGGGAGGACGACACGACGGACGUGACGAGGACAUAAAAAGCGUCAAAACUCCAAAUUCAAGAAAGAACCACUGCCUUUUGAUCACAGGAACUGAUCCCAGUCAGUUAAUGACGACUCUGAUUGGUAACCACGCUUCCGAAAGCCAGCCAAUCAACAACAGCCACGCCCGAGUACCAGCUUUCCAUGGCAGCAGGUCAGCCAACCCCUGAGCUCUCCCUCUUCUGAGAGGCCGCCUCUCCGAGCGGUGCUCCCCCACACCCCAGAGGAGAGCAGCCGUCUGGUUCUCCAAAAACAUCGUCUUACGAACACAGUUGUCCCUUACUUAGCAAAUAAUGCGUUCCUUUCUUUGUUUCAGAUAGUGAGUAGUGGUCUCUUCCUUGUCCAAGGGAAAGAGCAGAGAGGGAAAAACACGAAAAAGCCAUUGUUAUCCCGUCUGAAAAGGUGAAAAAGAAAUUUUUAUCCAACACGCAUAAUGGAAGCACAAAAAUCCCUAGAAAUAAACACACAUACGAGCGUGUCAACUUCUGCACUAACAAUGUCACAGGGGAAUCUCCAGCAUAUUCAGGAAGCAGGGCUCUGUUGCAACCUCCAUUGCGAGGGAGGGAUAUUCGCUGUCGGAUAAAGUAUAUGUUUAAUUCAUUUUAGAUUGAGUUAAAUUGGCACUUCAGUCGUGAAUACAGCAGGCUAUAUUCUUCUUCUUCAGUGACCCAUUUGCCCAAAGUACCACAGUGAUUAAACACUAAGCAAAUACACACAUAGGUAAGAAAAAAAUAGCACUCAGAUGUUGAAAACCUAAACUUAUCCAGCACAUUAAGCCUAGUGCGGCAAGCAUAUGUGGUAUCUGUUUUUAUUAAUGGAUUUCUAUUUCUGGCUUCUUUCUCCCUUCCUGCUUUGGUAAUGCUAGAUGUAUGUACAGAAAUCUAGAUAUUUAUUCAUAAAUUGGUACUUUCUACUGAUGAGUUGAUACAAACAAUAUAACUAGGGCCAUUAUAAUGUUAAGUGAGUUUUGAACAAAUAUAGUUAGAAAUCCAAUUAUCUUUCCAUAGAAAGCUUUUGUGCAGAAUCAUUGUUAAAUAAGGGAGGGAAGCCAGUGAGAAAGAACAGGAAUUUCUCCUGCCUGCAAAAGGACAUUGGAGAAUUUCAUCCUGCACAUGCAUUAAUUCAUUCAUGAUCCCCCCUCCCCCCAACCCCCAUGCAGUCAGCCCACAAAGAUCUCUUCCGGCUACUGGAAACUUCCCUUUUUUUAGGAUUUGAUCGUUUUUUUUAAAAAAAUUGAAUAUAUUUGACAUAUA